rnacentral:rRNA from 1 species
GACGAACGCUGGCGGCGUGCCUAAUACAUGCAAGUUGAGCGAUGAAGAUUGGUGCUUGCACCAAUUUGAAGAGCAGCGAACGGGUGAGUAACGCGUGGGGAAUCUGCCUUUGAGCGGGGGACAACAUUUGGAAACGAAUGCUAAUACCGCAUAACAACUUUAAACAUAAGUUUUAAGUUUGAAAGAUGCAAUUGCAUCACUCAAAGAUGAUCCCGCGUUGUAUUAGCUAGUUGGUGAGGUAAGGGCUCACCAAGGCGAUGAUACAUAGCCGACCUGAGAGGGUGAUCGGCCACAUUGGGACUGAGACACGGCCCAAACUCCUACGGGAGGCAGCAGUAGGGAAUCUUCGGCAAUGGACGAAAGUCUGACCGAGCAACGCCGCGUGAGUGAAGAAGGUUUUCGGAUCGUAAAACUCGGUUGGUAGAGAAGAACGUUGGUGAGAGUGGAAAGCUCAUCAAGUGACGGUAACUACCCAGAAAGGGACGGCUAACUACGUG